CCUACGGGAGGGCAGCAGUGGGGAAUAUUGGACAAUGGGCGAAAGCCUGAUCCAGCAAUUCCGCGUGUGUGAAGAAGGCCUUCGGGUUGUAAAGCACUUUAGUGGGGGAAGAAACAGCUUGGCCACACCAAGCCUUGACGGUACCCCAAGAAUAAGCACCGGCUAACUCUGUGCCAGCAGCCGCGGUAAUACAGAGGGUGCAAGCGUUAAUCGGAUUUACUGGGCGUAAAGGGUGCGUAGGUGGCUAUUUAAGUCGGAUGUGAAAGCCCGGGGCUCAACCUCGGAAUUGCAUUCGAUACUGAGUGGCUAGAGUUCGGUAGAGGGCGGCGGAAUUUCCGGUGUAGCGGUGAAAUGCGUAGAUAUCGGAAGGAACAUCAAUGGCGAAGGCAGCCGCCUGGGCCUGGACUGACACUGAGGCACGAAAGCGUGGGUAGCAAACAGGAUUAGAUACCCUGGUAGUCCACGCCGUAAACGAUGAGAACUUGACGUUGGUUCGUUUUACGAAUCGGUGUCGCAGCUAACGCGAUAAGUUCUCGCCUGGGGAGUCGGCCGCAAGGUUGAAACUCAAUGAAUUGACCGGNUGNGNGNGCGAGNGACACGAGGAGAG
rnacentral:rRNA from 1 species